GAUGAACGCUGGCGGCGUGCCUAAUACAUGCAAGUCGAGCGAACGGACGAGAAGCUUGCUUCUCUGAUGUUAGCGGCGGACGGGUGAGUAACACGUGGAUAACCUACCUAUAAGACUGGGAUAACUUCGGGAAACCGGAGCUAAUACCGGAUAAUAUUUUGAACCGCAUGGUUCAAAAGUGAAAGACGGUCUUGCUGUCACUUAUAGAUGGAUCCGCGCUGCAUUAGCUAGUUGGUAAGGUAACGGCUUACCAAGGCAACGAUGCAUAGCCGACCUGAGAGGGUGAUCGGCCACACUGGAACUGAGACACGGUCCAGACUCCUACGGGAGGCAGCAGUAGGGAAUCUUCCGCAAUGGGCGAAAGCCUGACGGAGCAACGCCGCGUGAGUGAUGAAGGUCUUCGGAUCGUAAAACUCUGUUAUUAGUGGAGAACAUAUGUGUAAGUAACUGUGCACAUCUUGACGGUACCUAAUCAGAAAGCCACGGCUAACUACGUG
rnacentral:rRNA from 1 species